rnacentral:rRNA from 1 species
UACGGGGGGAGCAAGCGUUGUUCGGAUUUACUGGGCGUAAAGGGCGCGUAGGCGGCCACCGCAAGUCACUUGUGAAAUCUCCGGGCUUAACCCGGAAAGGUCAACUGAUACUGCGGGGCUAGAGUGCAGAGGGGGCAACUGGAAUUCUCGGUGUAGCGGUGAAAUGCGUAGAUAUCAAGAGGAACACCGGAGGUGAAGGCGGGUUGCUGGGCUGACACUGACGCUGAGGCGCGAAAGCUAGGGGAGCAAACGGG